CACCCCCUGGGGAAUCAGCUGUCCCCCAGGUUUCUCCUACCUGGAGCUGGAGGGAAGGGGGACCACUAGGAAGGGGGCCAACCCCUCCUUGAUCUGCACAGUGGGUCACAGGACUGACAGGGCUCUCCCUCCCUGCCUGCCACUCAUGGGUCCCCCCCUUAACCCCCCUCUUUUCCACUUCCUGCCGUGACUGGAGAUCAGAGAACUCCCCACCGCAGCUUCCCCUUCUCAAGUCUCGAUUCCUGGGCUGAAGGUUUCACUGUAGGGCGAGGGACAGAGGGAAGGAGGGCUGAGGACCUGCGGUAGGACCCAGGGGACAGAGGCUCCGGGGGGAGGGCCGGGAUAAAGCCACUCCAAGGUAGGUGUGUACACACAGACACACAGCGAGUGGGUCACGGUGACACUGCCUGCGGGGUACAGUGACACAUGGAGACUGCCUGACCUCAAGUAACUCUGUGGGGAGAGGGAACAGCCAGAGGACCCAGCCCCGGCGUGCCCCACUCUUGCCCUGUCCUGAGCCUCCAGGUUCAUCUCCGGCAUCUACUGGCCUCCAGGCAAGCAAGAGAAAAAGAACAGAAGUUCCCAGCGGCGGUUCUGCAACAGCUCGAGCGCGGGGGACACGCGCAGCAGACGGCCCCAGACGCCUCAAGGCUGCGCGCGAAGACACGGCGCAGGCAGACUCACAGACGGGGCUCCCCCACCCUGGACACGGCGGCAGCGAGUUGGGAAGCCCAGGAAACCCCGGGUUCCCGUCGGAAGCCUCCCGGUACCCAGUCCCCUCCCGCAGCACCAAUCUGGGGCAGGACAUGGGGCCCCGACGCCUGCGGGAACCAGGGGCUCCCCAAAAUCCCCAGGGGAGGAAUUACCUCGCAGCGGGGGAAGCAACCCGUUCGGGGUGCCAGCGAGCACAGCGUCUGCCCUAACCCGGCGCCCUGGUGCUGCUCGGCAUCAGGGUGCGGGGUCCCGGGAGAGGAGCCGUCCAGGGGGCCGCGGCUCAGGGGCGCGGGGCGAUGGCAGCGGCCAUAGCGAGUCACGUGCGGAGGCUGAAACUUUACCCGGAGCCCCAGACUGAAGGGGCGGAGGGUACGGAGCAGAGGUAGGGGGAGGCCCUGUCCCUCAGGCCCGCCCCUGCCCGCCCACCGACCAAUCACCAGUCAGGGGCGGAUCUACAGGCUCACGCCCGCCCCCGCCUCUCCUUAAUAGACCUCGGGAAGGGCGAGUCUUAAAGGAGCCACUCCUAGUUGAAGACUGGACCGUGGGAAUCCGGGAGAAUCCCUCCCUCAGACCCAGAACCGAAGAUUCAGAGCAAGAACGGGGUGAGGUUCUGCGGAAAGAAUGAAAAUAGCGCUCGGUGGAGAAGACCGCAGCGUGUGGUAUCCUACACUCCUUUCCCCCCAACCACACACACACCCACACCUAAAUCUGAGAAGUGAGGCGGCGGCGUAAUAUGGAAGUGAGUGCGGUGACUCCUGCCCUAGCUGUCAAGCCCCUGAAUCCUAUAAUUAUAAUCCUCUUCUAGGGACCAGCUGGAACUGAGAGCUGUGUGACCUUGACCAAGUCACUUCCCUUCCCUGGAUCUUAAUUAUCUCAGCUGCAAGAAAAAGAAAAAAAAAAAAAGAGUCCAGGAGUAGAUCUCCCGCAAGUAUAUCUCUUCUUUCCCCAAACACCUCUGCAGCUCCAGUGGGUCCUAGGAACCCUGGCUCAACCCAACCCUCCCAGCCCCCUUAAAGUACUCUUCUCCUCAAAGGGCAAGACUUUUGGAUCUUCCAGUAGGGGCGCCCAGGAGCACCCCUCCGUGCUCAAAGACUCACACUCAAGCUUCUCUCUCCCGAACAAGUCUGGAGAAGCCAGGAAAGCUCUUUUUCAUGUUCCAGCUGGACAGGAUCUGAAUCACCCUCCAUCUGAGAGACCCCCAGUCCCCAAUACAGUCAUGACCCCCCUCCCAGCCUGCAGCUCUGUUUGGGAGGAUCCUGUCCCCAUCGCUAGCAGUCCACUGGCGGGCUUAGGGGGAAGCAGAAUUGCUUAGAAUACUCCCCUCUCGCCCUGUUCCCAGGCAGAGAAGUGGCCACAAGUGCCCCCACAGAACUUCCCACUGGAAGGGGAAGUGCUGCACUCCCAGGCCUCCAGCCCAGUGAGGAGACUCUCAGCCUGACCCGGUGGCAGAGCUCUCAAACCCACUGGUCCGACGGACCCCGCUUUACAAACAAGGAAAGAGAGUCCAAGAGCAGGCACUGGGUUUUGUGCACAGUCGCACCGGUUGCAGAGCCGGGUCUAGAAUUGAAGUAUCUGAUUGUCCCUGGCUUUAGCCCAAGAGCCAUGGUAAGGUAGGACAAGCCAGGAUGGCGGGACCCUUUGCCCUGAGGGCCGGCGCACGGGAAACUGCCCCAGCAGUGCUGGGCCGCGCUUCCCCAGGCCCCUUCCCGCCUGCUGGGCCGGAGCUGUCUCCCGCUCCCGUCUGGAUUUCCGUCCGCCGGUGCGAACCUCCCGCCCAGCCCCUCCCGCCCUGUCCUGUCCAGAUUCAUCCGCAAACAUGCGCUCAGCCGGCAGGAAUGCGCCAAUGGCUCCCAGAUGUGGACGCCACCGCUUAACCCCUUACCCCCCAGCCGCGCUCCCCCAAGGGCCUUCCAGCCUGAGCCCCGCCAACAGCAGGGAGCUCUGCCCAGCCUGUGGAAACUCCUGAAGAACAGCAUUAAGUGAUACUCCGAAGAGAUGAUGAGAAGCAAUUGGCCCUCCAAGACCAUGGUGCGGGAGUUUGUUGGAACCAGCUCCAGCUGACUCCUCUUCCCCUCCCAAGCCUCCUAGCUCAUCCCAAAAGGAGCUCCUCCCACAAGUACCUUAAUAGUCCCACUCCAUUUGAUUCUCACAGUCCUGAAGGGGCAGGCUCCUGUUGCCAUUGUAGAGAUGAAAAAACUGAGGCUCAAAAAGAAAAUUGCCUUCCUCAACGUCAUACAGCUUGUCAAUGGCAGGGCUGGGAUUCAAACCCAGGCCAGGUAUGGUGGCUCACACCUUUAAUUCUAGCACUUUGGGAGGCCAA
rnacentral:lncRNA from 1 species